CCCUGUAUGCAGUGAUUUGGAUUCAAGUGAGUCUCUUGCCUCAAGUUGUACUGUUACCCAACACCCGCAUCCACACCCAGGUAAGAUAGGCUUCCAAAGCAAUCCUUGAGAUGUUAAAUGAUUUUGUAACUUUUUAAAAAAAAGUAUAUUAAUGAUAUGGCUGUUCCUGGUACCUAGUUGUUGCCUUGUUGGUAUUGGAUACAGUUACUGUCAAAUAAACCUGAUUGCACUCAGCCCUUCUUUAAUUUGGUAGCCCAGAGACACAUCUGAUUCUUAAUUGUACUUGAAUUAAUCCUGGAGAUGAAAGUUCGUUUCAUAAAAUUCAAAGUAAGAUAUUCUCAAAUUUAUAGUGUUACUGCAUAACUAAUCCUGAAAUUUAUAGGGUUAGUUAUAUCUAGCAUUUGAUACUUCACUCAUUCUAAAUUUCUUUAGAGUUCCUGGUCAUGCUCUGUCAUACGAGACCUUCUACAUAAAUUGAGUGAGUAAACAUGUACAGAAAUUGCAUUGAAGUUGCUCAUCAACAAAGACCUAAAUUGAAGGAGCAAGCAUGCAAGGGACCUUUUAAUAGUUGAUCUGCAUGUAUGGGAGAUGGUUUGUAAUCUCAGAUCUUUUUCUAGAAGAUGGUUGCAAUAUGAAUCUUUGAAUGUAUUUUCUUGUAUAGGUUUUCAAUUCAUCGUCCUUUCUCUUAAUUGAACUGUAGUAAAUCAACAACUUUUUUUUCAAUCUGUUUUUGUUCUUUAUGUUGAUUUGUCUAAGUGGUUCUUAUUGAGAUAAAUUUAUUCUACCCCUUUCUUGUCCAAGAUUUCUGCUGAUGCCACUCCUAAAUCAUCAGAUGACAUCAAAUAGUUUUUCAUCAAUCUUCUCCAAUUUCUUGCAAGGUCCUAGCCAGAGUCCAGGAAACUCUGAAGAAGCACUAUCUUACAAAAGCUCUUGCAAUGAAAGAGCAGGUGUGGUUUGUGGUUU